ensembl:lncRNA
AUGAUACAUGCCCAGCUCCUGAGGGGCAGCUCUGGCCCCAUGUCAUCCGGCAUCCAGGGGAGGCUCUAUGGUGACCGCCACAUUGACUUCAUCCAUCCGUGCUGUUUCUCAGGUAAAUACAAAGAGGCUUCUUUAAUUUCAAAAGGUGGAAUUUCCUGCUUGUCAGUCCCCCUUCUACCGCUUUUCAGUUCCGCAAUCCAGUUAGAAUCCCACAGUACAUAUGGUUGUUUUGCCCUUUGUCUUCACCAAGCUGCCACAGUUCCUGAGUCUUUCCAAGUCUUGAUUUGACAAUUUUCAUAUAUUCAUGGUCCGUUAUUUUGUAAUGUCUGAGGCUUUCUCAUGAUUAGAAGGAGGUUAUGCUUUUUGGCAAGAAAAAUGACACAAGUGAUGUGUCCUUUGCACUGCCUUGUGUCAAGGGGAAAAUGACUUUUAUAUGCAUUAUAACUUGUGGUGUAAACCUCAAUCAUAUGGCCAAUGUGGGUGUUUGCUAGGUUUCUCUCUUUCUCUCUCUCUCUUUUUUGUCUUUUUUUUUUUUUUUUUUUGCUUUUUAAGGCCGCACCCGUGGCAUAUGGAAGUUCCCAGGCUAGGGGUCUAAUGGGAGUUACAGCUGCAGCAAUGCCAGAUCUGAGCCUCAUCUGUGACCUACACCACAGCUCACGGCAACACUGGAUCCUUAACCGAGUGAGGCCAGGGAUUGAACCCACAAUCUCAUGGUUCCUAGUUAGAUUCAUUUCUUCUGCACCAUGACAGGAACUCCUUGCUAGGUUUCUCCAAUGCAAAUUUACUAUUUUUUUUCCCUUAGCAAUUGACCAAUAUCUUGGGAGAGAUAUUUGAGGCUCUGCAGAUAUUGUUUCUCCUCAAAAUUUCAUCUAUUACCUUUUCCAUCCACAGGUAGAUCCUGCUGUAGCAAUUAUAACCGGGGUGUUUACCUAAUGAUAAUUCUGUAUGUCCCUCAGUCUUUCUAGCUUCAUUAGAUAGAACUCUUCUGUUAGAGAGCAGCUGUAUCCUUUAUUUAUUUACUCGCUUACUUGUACCAAUACAGACUCAGGGAUAUUUACUUUAUUCUGUAGGUUACAGUUAAAAUACUAUCAUUAUUUGGUUGCUCGAAUUGUUCCAAAUUUGGCUGUUGGGAGUGUAACAAAAUGCUACAGACCAGCUUAGAUGAUAGAGAUGCAUCUCUCACAACUGUGGGGGCUGGAAGUCUAUCAAAGUAAGGGCAGCUGUGAUUUCUCCCAAGACCUCGCCCAGGCCUGCAGACAGCCGUCUUCUCACUGUGUCCUUCCAUGGCCUUCUGUCUGUGCAGUCACACUUCUUGCGUCUCUCUUCUUAUAAGGACGCCAGUGCUAGGGUCCACUCUUACAAUUUUGUUUAACCUUAUUUACAUCCUCAAAGGUCUAUCUCCAAAUGUAGUCGGAUUGGGGGUUCAAACUUGAACAUACAGAUUCAGUGCACAGUAGUGUGUGUUUAUCUUCACGUGUCCAAAGUCCAAGGGACUGCCGCCCACAGCCUCUGCCUCCGCUAGGGCUUUUUCCCUGAUUUCUUCACUCUGCCUUUUCUUUCUGUGUCUCCAGUAUGCAAAGGGCUGUGAUGAAGCUCUCACACUUUUUCACUCUCUUCAUUCUAGGAAAUAAAGGUCCUGUUUUUAUGGCA